GGAUCAGAUUGUCGGUCGUGCCUCGGUACGUAGUGGCAUUAUUGAUUUCUCCCUUCUGAAGAACCACGAUGUCAUUAAUUUGGUGUCGUGGGGAAUCAGGACUGUUACUUUGAAAAAAUUAGAGUGUUUAAAGCAGGCUCACGCUUGAAUACAUUAGCAUGGAAUAAUGAAAUAGGACGUCUGAUUCUAUUUUGUUGGUUUCUAGGAUCGACGUA
rnacentral:rRNA from 1 species